rnacentral:rRNA from 1 species
GCCAGCCCGCUCAGACUUAAAGGAAUUGACGGGGCCCGCACAAGCGGUGGAGCAUGUGGUUUAAUUCGAUGAUACGCGAGGAACCUUACCUGGGCUCAAAUGUAUGUUGACGUAUUCUGAAAGGGAUACUUCUUCGGACAAUAUACAAGGUGCUGCAUGGUUGUCGUCAGCUCGUGCCGUGAGGUGUCGGGUUAAGUCCCAUAACGAGCGCAACCCCUACCUUUAGUUGCCAUCAGGUUAAGCUGGGGACUCUAAAGGAACUGCCUACGCAAGUAGUGAGGAAGGUGGGGAUGACGUCAAAUCAGCACGGCCCUUACGUCCAGGGCGACACACGUGCUACAAUGGCCGGCACAACGGGAAGCGAGUUCGCGAGGACGAGCGGAUCCCUCAAAGCCGGUCGCAGUUCGGAUUGAAGUCUGCAACUCGACUUCAUGAAGCUGGAAUCGCUAGUAAUCGCGCAUCAGCCAUGGCGCGGUGAAUACGUUCCCGGGCCUU